AAGAGAACAAAAACAACGGCAAAAUUUGACAUUUGGAGCAACUUGGACAUUUGACGUUUGGAGAACGUGGAUGAAGAUCUCAUUCGAUACUACUGAGAUAAGUACGAGGCCAGUUCUCUCUCUCUCGUCUCUCGCUCACUCUCUCUCUGUCUUUAUCUCUGUCUUCCUCUCCCUCUCUCUGACUCUUCCUCUCUCUCUCUCUCUCUCUCUCACUCUUCCUCUCAUCACUGCUGAGUCUGUCAUGGUGGUGUGGGUGCAGGUUGUCAUGGUGGUGUGGGUGCAGGUUGUCAUGGUGUUGUGGGUGCAGGUUGUCAUGGUGGUGUGGGUGCAGGUUGUCAUGGUGGUGUGGGUGCAGGUUGUCAUGGUGUUGUGGGUGCAGGUUGUCAUGGUGUUGUGGGUGC
ensembl:lncRNA